AUUGCUCCUGUUAUUGCGUUUGUUUUCUUACCUUUCGUGAAAAGCUUUAUAUGUUAUUCUACCGUGAACUUGCCUCUGGCCAGCCCCGGAGAUGACACAUUUCCCAGAAAAAAUGUAGUUCUCAUGUUGGUUGCCCAACCCUUGCCUUACCUUAAUGUAAGUGGAGUAAUGGGUUAGGUAAAGAAAAGAAAAAACAACAAUUGAAAGUCUAAACGGGUUAGUCUGUGUCUGACUGCCAGCAUGACGUAAUGCUACAAGACUAGGCUACUCUAUAAACUUGUCGUGCUGAGAAAUGUGAUAUUUACUUAGUGAAACACAGACACGAUCAUGAAACGAAGAAACCUUUCUGUCAAAUGGAAUUGAAAAAGUCAUAUUGCUGAACCCGAAACACAAGAAUAAGGAAAACUACUUACGGCGCUUCCACAUAUCCCAGUAGAAAAUUUUCCCAUAAAAAAAAAAGGAUGUCAAUGACUCGCAUUGGCCUUGAUCUUGGAACUGAAAUGCAUUAUCACAGGAGUUUGCAGUAUCCCUUAACGAGCAUACUACUAUUAGGUUAAUCACAGCUUUUAUUUCAGUAAAAGAUGUCCAUCGCCAAUUUCGUUGUUUGCUUCUUGGCAGUUGUCAUGACCGUGGCUGGUGAGCCUACCGGAUACAGGCCAGCAAUGGCUCCUGAUUACCAGGCACCUGCUUACAAAGCUCCUACUUACCAGCCUCCUGCUUACCAGCCUCCUGCUUACCAGCCUCCUGCUUACCAGCCUCCUGCUUACCAGCCUCCUGCUUACCAGCCUCCUGCUUACCAGCCUCCUUCUUACCAGCCUCCUUCUUACCAGCCUCCUUCUUACCAGCCUCCUGCUUACAAGGCUCCUGCUUAUAUGGCCCCUACACCUUCGUAUAAGGCAGCUUCAUCUUACUAGUUUCCUGCCAAGUUAUUUAAAAUCAAAAGCUUGAAUUUCUCAAAAUAAAUUAUUUAGAUGUCUAUCAA